UCAUUAACAAAUUAUUUUAUGAACAAAAGUCAUUACACCAGAAUACAAACACUACAUCUCCUCCCAGAACUAGACUCCUGCUUCAAUUCCUUUCGAUUUAGAACUUUUCCUCACUCAGCUCCAUAGAUCUAAACUCUUUCUUCUUCUAUUUCUUCCUUUAUUCAUAUUCCCACAUUACACAGACCACGUAAUCCUUCUUCAUUCUUUCACAUGCAUGUUAUAAGCCGUGAGUACCAACAAAUCUUGAACCCUUUCUUCCUCGCUUUCCACACUGCGAUUCCGUUUUUUUUUUUGUACGAGAUCUUAUUUAAUCCAUAACCGGUGGAGUCCAGCCGACCACCCGUUAAAACCGUUGAACCACCGACCGUCGAAACCGUAGACUCAGAUGGACGGAAACGAACUGUGAUAUUGACGCCGACGGUUUGAUCGAUUCUGGAUUUUGAGCCCGAAACCGUCCGCUGUCUAGCCC
rnacentral:lncRNA from 1 species